CUACUUACCCAGCAGGGGAUAGACUGAGAUCAAUAACACGGCCUUUCUAAGCAAGGAUAUUCUCUGCAUUCCAGGUAGGCUGACUCUGGUGAUUUCCUCUAAUGUAGAGAAGCUGAGCGCAUAAUUUGUAGUGAAAGAGGGUAUUUAU
rnacentral:snRNA from 13 species